rnacentral:tRNA from 1 species
CACUAGGCGGGAAGGCC